GGGAACCUCAGAAAUCCAUUGAAGUUCCAUUGUUAAGAAGUUCUGUUUGUUUGGCAACUGCUUUAAACCCGAUAGAACAAGAUCAGAAGUGGCAGUCUAUAACUGAAAAUGUGGUAAAGUACUUGAAGCAAACAUCCCGCAUCGCUAUUGGACCUCUGAGACUUUCUACUUUAACAGUUUCACAGUCUUUGCCAGUUCUAAGUACCUUGCAGCUGUAUUGCUCGUCUGCUUUGGAGACCACAGUUUCUAACAGACUUUCAACAGAGGACUGUCUUAUUCCACUCUUCGGCGAAGCUUUACGUUCAUGUAAACAGCAUGACGUGAGGCCGUGGAUGCAGGCAUUAAGGUUUCAGGCACAGAACUGUAUAUCCAAUAAUAGUGAAAUGGAUCCCACUAAUUAUGACAGAAAUGAUGAUACAUUUAAAUGACUUGGAUGUUUUAUAGGUUGGCACUCAUCAUGAGCCCCUGUUCUCAUUCUGCAAAUGGUGAAGCUCUCUAUUGUCCUGACCCCACAGUUCCUGUCCCA
rnacentral:lncRNA from 1 species